rnacentral:lncRNA from 1 species
GGCCUCCUUUUGCGAAGACCAACGAGUGUAAAGACCUGCGACUUUACCUGCGCGACUUCACCGAGCAACGAAAUCGCCAAGGCACUUAAGUGUAUUUUUGCCCUUCCCUGCACACACUCUCCUUUUCUGUCCUCUCUUUUUCACCUCUAUCAUGUGUUUCCAAACCAUUCCGGGUUGUCUCUCGACGACGCUCUAAGGUCACACGCAGACGGCAACGCAAUGUUGCUAACCUGCAUCCUAUCUCUACAUCCUCUACUGCACCUCUUUCUUUCUCUAUGGGUCUCUGGAAUUGUCAGUCAGCUGUCAACAAAGCAGACUUCAUUUCUUCUUUUUCUUUAAACUCCACACUUAGCAUAUUGGGCUUGACUGAGACCUGGAUUCGUCCAGAAGACUCGGCAACCCCAGCUGCUCUUUCGAACAAUUUCUCUUUCUCUCAUACCCCCCCGUCAGGUUGGCCGGGGUGGGGGCACUGGUCUGCUCAUUUCUAACAAUUGGAAAUACUCAACCCACUCUCCCCUAUGCAAUUACAACUCAUUUGAAUCUCAUGUGAUCACUAUAACAGCUCCUGUAAAACUCCAGGUUGUGGUAAUUUACCGCCCUCCUGGGCAAAUUCUAUCCACCUUCCUAGAAGAGCUGGAUGGGCUGCUGUCCUCAUUCCCGGAGGAUGGCAGUCCACUUUUAGUCUUUGGCGACUUCAACAUUCAUCUGGACAAGCCUUAUGCUACAGACUUCCAUUCACUCCUUGCUUCAUUUGAUCUCAAACGACUUACCACCACAAGCACGCACAAAUCUGGCAACCAACUUGACUUAAUUUACACACGCAAUUGUAUUGCAGACAACAUUCUGGUCAAACCCCUACAUAUCUCUGAUCAUUUCUUCAUUACAUUUCAACUACAUUUUGCUACCUGUGUGCCACCAACCCCCAUACCGGUUACUUUUAGACGAAACCUACGCUCCCUUUCCCCCUCCCAUCUUUCCUCCGUUGUAUCCUCCUCUCUUCCCUCACCUACCCAUUUCUCAUCUCUGGAUGUGAAUGCAGCAACUGACACUUUAUGCUCUACUUUAACCUCUUGUCUAGAUGAUAUUUGUCCUCUCUCCUCCAGGCCAGCACGGGCUGCCCCCUCGAACUCCUGGUUAUCCGAUGUUCUUCGUGAACAUCGGACCAAACUCAGGGCAGCUGAGAGAAAAUGGUGCAAAU